rnacentral:rRNA from 1 species
GACGAAGGGGGCUAGCGUUGUUCGGAAUUACUGGGCGUAAAGCGAGUGUAGGUGGUUGUCAUAGUCAGGUGUGAAAGCCUUGAGCUCAACUCAAGAAAUGCACUUGGUACUGGGCGACUAGAGGACCGGAGAGGAUAGUGGAAUUCCCAGUGUAGUGGUGAAAUACGUAGAGAUUGGGAAGAACACCAGUGGCGAAGGCGGCUAUCUGGACGGUUUCUGACACUAAGACUCGAAAGCGUGGGGAGCAAACAGG